rfam:Lysinibacillus sinduriensis BLB-1 = JCM 15800 contig1, whole genome shotgun sequence.
AUCAGCUCCGCGUCGGCGAAAUCGCAACGUCCUGUUGCAUCGCCGACAUGACGCACAUCGUGUGCG